rnacentral:rRNA from 1 species
UACGAGUGCCCCAAGCGUUAUCCGGAAUUAUUGGGCGUAAAGGGUGUGUAGGUGGUCUAGUUAGUCUCAUGUCAAAUUCUUCGGCUUAACCGGGGUACCGCAUGGGAUACGGCUAGACUAGAGGAUGCGAGGGGUGAAUGGAACUCAUGGAGUAGGGGUGAAAUCCGUUGAUAUCAUGGGGAACACCAAAGCGAAGGCAGUUCACUGGCGCACUCCUGACACUGAAACACGAAAGCGUGGGUAGCGAAUGGG